rnacentral:rRNA from 2 species
AGUCUUUUGAAAUUUUAUGAAAGGUGUUUUCUGCUCGGUGAUUUUAAACAGCCGCGGUAAUUUGACCGUGCGAAGGUAGCGUAAUCAUUUGCCUUGUAAUUUAAGGCUUGUAUGAAUGGGGGUACAAAGGCUUUUCUGUCUUAAUUGAGUUUUUGGAAAUUGUUUUUGUUGUGAAGAAACAGUAAUAGGGUAAUGGGACAAGAAGACCCUUUUGAGCUUUACUUUUUGGAUAAGUAUAUGCUUUUAUUAGAGUUUGGUUGGGGCGAUCGAGGAAGAAAAAAUCUUCCUUUUUAGAGAUAUAUAUGAUCCAGAAUUUUUGAUUUAAAGAAUAAGUUACCAAAGGGAUAACAGCGUAAUUUUUUUUGUGAGUUCUUAUUAAAAAAAAAGAUUGCGACCUCGAUGUUGACUUAUAGUCUCCUUUAGGUGUAGUUGCUUAAAAGGUGGGUCUGUUCGACCUUUAAAAUUUU